rnacentral:rRNA from 1 species
AUUGAACGCUGGCGGCAGGCUUAACACAUGCAAGUCGAGCGAGCGGCGGACGGGUGAGUAAUGUCUGGGAACUGCCUGAUGGAGGGGGAUAACUACUGGAAACGGUGGCUAAUACCGCAUACUAUCGGAUAACCCAUAUGGGAUUAGCUAGUAGGUGGGGUAAAGGCUCACCUAGGCGACGAUCUCUAGCUGGUCUGAGAGGAUGAUCAGCCACACUGGGACUGAGACACGGCCCAGACUCCUACGGAGGCAGCAGUGGGGAAUAUUGCACAAUGGGCGCAAGCCUGAUGCAGCCAUGCCGCGUGUAUGAAGAAGGCCCUAGGGUUGUAAAGUACUUUCAGUCGGGAGGCGUUACCGACAGAAGAAGCACCGGCUAACUCCGUGCCAGCAGCCGCGGUAAUAC